CUGGGUAUGAUAGAAGUGAAAAUGAAGGUUCUAACCCAAACUGUACCGGAGUUCCCAAUUUCUUUCAACAUUUCAGGCCCUUCCCCAACGACGAGGGCUACGAUGGUGCAUCACACAGUGAUGACAAUUAAUAUUUUGACUCCAGGCACCUAUUCUUGAGAGUUUAAGGUUUCUGCUAAAUCACAUCCAUUUUGCAAAUGGCAACUUCAAAUCAGCACCAGAGGAUAAAAGAAAGGGAUAUUUUGAGCAAGUGUGGUGUGAACUUUUGAGAUUAGGGAAGCUUUGAAUCUUCUCACCAAUUUCAGCAACAACUACUCUAAUCAAAACAUCAAGUAUACAAAAAUCACAAAAGAGAAAAGUUGCAAGCGCCAAAGGACUACUCUAAUCAACCCAUGCAAGUAUCAAAGGACUGCCAAUGUACCUCAGCUAGUAAAACUUGCUCAGAAUUUAUGUUUCUGCCAAAUGUGUUUUAUUAUGACUCGGGCACUCAAAAGCUGUCUUGCCAAGGCAACUCCAGCAUUAACAGACUUUUACCAAACUAGCAAACCCAAAAUUACAAAGUAU